GUAAACAGAAGCAGCAAAGAACCUGAGCAGUCAGCUUUGAUGUGACUAGGAAGGGAUGUGCCUAAGAAAUGUGAGAGAAAGCGUGUAUGUUUGUGUGUAGCCACGCAGGCACGCAUGCGCACGUGCGUAUGUGCUUGCGUGCCUGCGUGUGGUGCAUGCGUGCGUGCGUGCGUGAAAGAGAGGUUGAGAGAGACAGGGAGGGAUGGGUCUUCGUUACCUCAGCCUACAGCCCACCAUGAAAUUUCUCAGGAAGAUCUUGUUUCAGGACCUGGAGCCUCCCAGUCUUUCCAGAAAGACCUGAAGAUUGAAGACCUCUGGGUUGUUUCUAGGCAAGAGGAAGAUUCUUUUUAGCUGGGCUUCUUCAGGAAGUUCAAGAUAUUGAUAGAUUUUCUCUGUGGGUCAUUGACUUUGCCUUAGGAGGAGUUGCCUCACCCCACCUUCAGGGGAUCUUCAGGAAGGGCGUGGGCUCUGGGUAACAGCAGAGACAGUGGCUCAGCGCCUAGUGAGCUAGGACUGGUCUGUGAGUAGGCGCAUCCUCCCAGGGCAUCUGCUGAAACUCUGAUGGCAGUGGUAACUCCCCAGGUCCUGAGGACAGUCUACUUGGGCAAUACACAACUUUUACUGAGGGAGCCACCAUCACCAAGGACAGUUGCAGAAACCGAGGAAUCAAGGAAAUCAAGCCGUGUGCUUCAGGCAGAGGCCCAGCUCCUAUCUACUGACAAAGGUGGGGAGCUGACAUCCCUCUAUAAAGAGAUGAUUUCCCCUUGUCAAAUUAUCAACUUCCUCAAGGAGCAGCAGAUACAAGAAAGGUUUGUUUUAACACAGACUACAUGGGAUACACACAGGAGCAUGUGGCUGCCAAUGAAUAUGGGGCUUCUGGCCUGUCAGAUAAAACAGAUGAGAAAUGGAGGUGUCUCUGAGAGGAUAAGUGGCUUGUCUGAGAUUUCUCCGUUGGAAGCUGACUCUAGACCUGAGAUUAAUGAACUAUUCUUGGGAACACAGGCCUUGUGAAUUCUACUCUGUUGCCAUGUCUUUGAGCUCAGUAGGAUCUUACUCAACAUACCAAGAAGAAACAGUUAGACAGCUGCUUUUACACCCCUUUCCGACCUCUUGGAUGGAGGCCACCUGCCUUUCAGCAUCCUCCCCUGCACACCCCUAAGCCCAGUUGCCUGCCAGAAUUUCAGCCUUUAGGAAGUGACUUGCAGGAGAAUUCUACAAGUUAAGAAUUCUCCUACAAGGUUGUAUUGUUAUUUGGAAAGUGAAGUGAUGAGCAGACUAAUUGUCAUGACGGAUUUGGAAAUUGGCAUCAAGGUUUUGUUGAAGAGAAUGUGGAGUCAACAUAAUGCUUGUCAAAAUUGCCUUUCUCUAAUAACAAGCAAUAUGUGCUUCUGGGUUUCUGAGAACACUGCAAAUUAUUUCCUUCUUUUUGAGGUACAAGUUAAAAUGUUCAUCUUGGUUUGCUGCAUGUUAUUAAAAAGUGUGUUAUCUGGGUGAUGAG
ensembl:lncRNA